rnacentral:rRNA from 1 species
UACGAAGGGGGCUAGUGUUGCUCGGAAUUACUGGGCGUAAAGGGCGCGUAGGCGGAUAGUUUAGUCAGAGGUGAAAGCCCAGGGCUCAACCUUGGAAUUGCCUUUGAUACUGGCUAUCUUGAGUUCGGGAGAGGUGAGUGGAAUGCCGAGUGUAGAGGUGAAAUUCGUAGAUAUUCGGCGGAACACCAGUGGCGAAGGCGACUCACUGGCCCGAUACUGACGCUGAGGCGCGAAAGCGUGGGGAGCAAACAGG